GCAUCCAGAAAAGGUUUCUGUCUAAAUUAGCAAAUGCCUAAAUUGUUCUUGGUUACAUCCCAUGAGCGGUUUCAGGCAGCGACUUUAUAAUGCUUUUAGGAUUUUCUUGUACACUGGUGAGAAAAUAGGCAGGUCUGAUAGUGGUUUCACUUUUUUUUCUACUUCACGUUCCAUAAGAUUCUUUUAUGCAAGCACUUGUUUUAAAAUUCUACUGUAAGCGUUUAUGGUUCACUUUUUUUUUCUUUGCAGCACCCGUGACUUUUUUUUCCCUCUAAAUCGGGAGUAAAUAUAGCUGAGUAAAAUUACCUUGAUUUUCUUCCUUCUUUUUUAACUGAAUUGUUUUUAUUAAAAAUCCUAUUUGAAUAUGUAGAAAAAGUGGGGAUGUCUUGUAAUAUAUCGUAGCUUUUCUUGUUUACAGGAUACUCAGAAAAUAUGUCUCCCUUAGAGUCCCACAGAAACGUUCUCAGUGCGAUCUCUAUCAAGUGCUAUGAGUCUUGAUCAAUUGGAGAAGAGCCCAAGAGAAAUUUUUCAUCCCUUGAUAUAAAAAGGAUCGGUGAAUUUUAACUUUGGAGUCCCCUAUGCUAAGGAUGCUCAGCUUACAGGUGAUGAAAUGUUCAGUAAUGUAUUUGCUGCAGCUCUGCUUACCCAAGCUUUGGGUUCCUUCUGUCCCACUGGGAGUUGCCCAAUUUGGUUGCAUCUGGUGAAAUUCACCCUGAGACCUUACAGAACCAGCUCCAACUACGUGAGAGCCAUUUGCAGUUCUCUCCAGACGCCUGGAGAAUGGGCGACGUUUCUGAGGAUCUGGCGAGCGUGCUUCUGUCAAAACUCAGUCUGUGAAAUUCCUGGGGAAAACCCUUCUGUGUCCUGAAGGGUUCAAACUCUGGUGAGGAUCCAGUUAUCAGGUGCUCACCUGGAUGGUUCCAGCUGCCAAAGGGAAAGACUCUCGUGUCCUUGUCGUUGGGCUCGGUGCUGUCCAAGAAGAUACGGGGACUAAAAAAAUCAUAAGAAGCAAAAUACAACUGCAGGGAAAAGAAGCUGGAGAGAACAGAAGACUCAUCACGGCGGGACAGCGUGAAGACUGAAAGUGUAAGAAGAUGUGGAGGGAAAGAGAGAAUCUGACAGGAGCAUCGGACGGACGAGUGCACGAAUUUUGCUUUUUUGCUUGGAUGUAAACUCAGGCGUUGAAAGGAAUUUGGGAGUGAGAAGGGACAUUUCAGAAGGAGAAGAAGCAAAAGAAGUUGUUGUUGUUGUUACAGUCCUGGCAAAAUCUUUUGUUCUAGCUAAUAAAAGAAGUUAGUUUAAAAAACAAAAAGGAAAAAA